UACGUAGGGGGCUAGCGUUGUCCGGAAUCAUUGGGCGUAAAGCGCGUGUAGGCGGUCCGGUAAGUCCGCUGUGAAAGUCGGGGGCUCAACCCUCGGAUGCCGGUGGAUACUGUCGGGCUUGAGUACGGAAGAGGCGAGUGGAAUUCCUGGUGUAGCGGUGGAAUGCGCAGAUAUCAGGAGGAACACCGGUGGCGAAGGCGGCUACCUGGACGGUCACUGACGCUGAGACGCGAAAGCGUGGGGAGCAAACAGG
rnacentral:rRNA from 1 species